ACUGUAGCAGCCACGGUGCUGCGUUCACUGUCUCCAGUUCACCGUGUGGAGAGUUACUGUAGCAGCCACGGUGCUGCGUUCACUGUCUCCAGUUCACUGUUAGGAGAGUUACUGUAGCAGCCACGGUGCUGCUUGUAGUGUUGAGGACAUGCAGCCUCUUCCUCCACCGCUCAUAUAGUUUAGUUUAGUAGGUUGUCAGCUGUGUGUCUGCCCGGCGUAACGAUAGCGAGUGUCCGACAACCGUGUGUAUGUUUGUGCUACGUUCGUGCGUACUGUACUGCGUUCGUUUGUAAUAAUAAUAAUAAUAAUAAUAAUAAUACAUUUUAUUUAGUAGCGCCUUUCUGGACACCCAAGGACACCUUACAAGGAUCAGUUUAAAACAUAGACAGAUAAAACAAAUAAAAACAACAGGACAUGACAGAGACAUAAUUGUACAGACACAUAGGAUGGGUGCUAAUGAGUACUAGAGAGAGUAGGCCAGUUUGAAUAGGUGGGUUUUGAGGAGGGAUUUGAAUGAUGUAAUAAUGUCAGACUGCCGGAUGUGUGGGGGGAGUGAGUUCCAGAGCCUGGGAGCAGAGCAGCUGA